CGAAGGGGGCUAGCGUUGUUCGGAAUUACUGGGCGUAAAGCGCGCGUAGGCGGUGAUCUUUGUCAGAGGUGAAAGCCCGGGGCUCAACUCCGGAAUUGCCUUUGAGACGGGAUCGCUAGAGUCCGAGAGAGGAUGGCGGAAUUCCUAGUGUAGAGGUGAAAUUCGUAGAUAUUAGGAAGAACACCGGUGGCGAAGGCGGCCAUCUGGCUCGGUACUGACGCUCAGGCGCGAAAGCGUGGGGAGCAAACAGGAUUAGAUACCCUGGUAGUCCACGCCGUAAACGAUGGGUGCUAGUUGUUAGGAAGUUUACUUCUUAGUGACGCAGCUAACGCGUUAAGCACCCCGCCUGGGGAGUACGGUCGCAAGAUUA
rnacentral:rRNA from 1 species